rnacentral:lncRNA from 1 species
GAAGACCACGGUUAAGAUUCGAGGACGAAUCUUUCCAACCCGGAGAGAAUGAUGGAGAAAGAUAUUUGGAUAUAUCUAGAUUAUUAUUUAUUAUGGUGAUUAUCUUAAUUAGUUAUAAUUAUCUUAAGGAUUUUUAAUAGUUUUAAAGUUAUUUGGUUUUCAUAUAAAUAGGCGUCUAUGCCUAGAGUUGUAUUCAGAUUAUUGAUAUUGAUAUUUUAUAAAAGAGAGGUUUGAAACCCUUUAUUUCCUUGUUACGGCUAGAACUCGAGAGUUCUCAACGAAUCAAGAAGACUUUGAUCCUAGGUAUUCUCAGACUAAAUAGGAUUCAUUGUGUUAUCGUAGCUUCCGCUACAUCAG